GCGCUGUUUGUGGGAGAUCGUGCGAGAGCCACACCCAUUGGUCACCGCCCCGCACAAACCCUACCCUUUCCAGUGCUCCCAAAUUGAUGCAGCCGCCUCCCCUCUCCCUCUCUUCCUCCCCCAACGCGCCGGCCGCCUCCACCUACCAUACCGCAUCCCCUCCCUCUCUUCCUCCCCAAACGCGCCGGCCGCCUCCACCUGCCAUAUCGCGUCCCCACUGCCGCCAUGGCCUCUUCAGGAGGCACGCCCCUCCAUGGUGUGAAGCAGUAGACCAAGAUCUGAAGCAGGAAGAGGAGAUCCAGGCACCCCAACGGUGGAUGGAUCGAUGCGAGGUGACGACGAGCUCCUCCGGACGUGGGGGCAGCGAGGCCGGAGAUCCAAUCGGCGCAUGCCCAUUAGGGUCGAAGCUGCUGCGCUCCGGUCCCCAAGCUGCCUCCAGGCUCGCUUCCUCCUCCAUCCUCGGGCACGGAGGCAAGGUUCUCCGGCGGCGGCGGGAACCUCCAGGCAGAGAGCGACCCCUCGUCAAUACCCUGGGUAGCUGCAACAGUGGUGCUCUUUCUUUCUCUCUCUGUAUGGAACUUCCGGAUGGGAUUUAGACAAGGAAAAGGAGACCCAUGCGAAAUCGAGCGUCCUGGUGGUGCCUCGACCAAUGUGGGUCGACGGAUAGCACCGGUGAGCGUGGUGCUUGGUGCAGCGAGCUGGAUAGGCGGCAGGAGAGGUGACCAUGGGUGUGGCUUGGGGAGCCCCGCACGCAUCAAGCAACGACGAGUGCAUCCAACGCCACCAUGCUGCUGGUCCUGGGGAACAAGGUAAAAGAAGGAAGAGAACAUUGGAGAAAAAGGCAGCAGGACGGAUUCUCUAAGCUUUCUCAAAUGUUUGAACAAUUAGAAGAUAGUUACAAUCAUUUUUCUCUUGCCUUAUUACAUCUUGAUGUUAAUAGGCUUUGCAAGGUACUAUGCGCCCCGUUCAAGGUUUACAGAAUUUGCACCAUCCUAUUAUAGUUUGUUCUGAUGACAUAAUUGACCAGUUCUUCCUUGAGUAAAUUAAUAUUGUGGCUGCUACUCCUUUGUGCAUUGUUACAUAGAGUUAUAUAAUUGUGAAGGUGUGUACACAUCAACAUAUAAUUCCCACGAUCCUAUUACAGUUUGUUCUGACGACAAUAUUGAGCAGCUCUUACUUGAGUAAAUUGUGCAGCUCUUCC